UUGGAAUUGGGAAGGUACAGGGAGUAACCCCCAAGUAAAAGUUGUUGAGAAAAUAUUAGCAAACAUGACUACGCCGAACACUGGCGACUCAUUUUUGGACAAUUCUUUCUGCACCUUUUUUCUUCCAGUACCACAAUAAAUUAUCAUAUCCUCAUUUUACCCUUAUUAAAAAUUUAUUAAAAUCCUUGAAACUCUAGGUUCACUUUUUCUUCUUCCUUGCAUCACGG
rnacentral:lncRNA from 1 species